CACAAAGUCCAGAACGAAUUUCCAAGGAUCAAACCAACUUGUUAAACUUCCCUCCCCUGAAUUAAAAGUUCAGUUGGCCGAAUCUGCCAGCUUCCUCGCUCCUUCCCUCUCUUCUCCUGUGCUGGGAAUUGUCAGAACGGCUGGCAGGAAAGAGAGAGAAACGAGGAGCAGCGACGAGCUUUCGGCGUGAUAACAUUUCCGCCUCCCGCUCACCAGAUCCUCCGACUCGGUCCUUGCAGGGGGCCCAGCCCAGCCUUCAAGUUUGGCCAAAAUUACGGUGCCCGCUUAUUCCGCAGCAUUUCAAAUAUUUGCCCUGGAGGACGUCAUACAUUUAGGCUUCCUGGUAUCCCAGCUUUGAUAAAGUUUGAGGAGCUGUGCCCUUCC
rnacentral:lncRNA from 1 species